rnacentral:rRNA from 1 species
UACGGGAGGCAGCAGUGGGGAAUAUUGCACAAUGGGCGCAAGCCUGAUGCAGCCAUGCCGCGUGUAUGAAGAAGGCCUUCGGGUUGUAAAGUACUUUCAGUCGUGAGGAAGGUGUUAAGGUUAAUAACCUUAGCAAUUGACGUUAGCGACAGAAGAAGCACCGGCUAACUCCGUGCCAGCAGCCGCGGUAAUACGGAGGGUGCGAGCGUUAAUCGGAAUUACUGGGCGUAAAGGGCACGCAGGCGGUUAAUUAAGUUGGAUGUGAAAUCCCCGGGCUUAACCUGGGAAUGGCAUUCAAGACUGGUUAGCUAGAGUCUUGUAGAGGGGGUAGAAUUCCAUGUGUAGCGGUGAAACUGCGUAGAGAUGUGGAGGAAUACCGGUGGCGAAGGCGGCCCCUGGACAAAGACUGACGCUCAUGUGCGAAAGCGUGGGGAGCGAAACGAGGGAUUAGAUACC